rnacentral:rRNA from 1 species
GACGAACGCUGGCGGCGUGCCUAAUACAUGCAAGUCGAGCGAACCAAUAGGAGCUUGCUCCUGUUGGUUAGCGGCGGACGGGUGAGUAACACGUGGGCAACCUGCCUGUAAGACUGGGAUAACACCGGGAAACCGGUGCUAAUACCGGAUAAUCUUUUUCCUCUCAUGAGGAAAAACUGAAAGUCGGUUUCGGCUGACACUUACAGAUGGGCCCGCGGCGCAUUAGCUAGUUGGUGAGGUAACGGCUCACCAAGGCGACGAUGCGUAGCCGACCUGAGAGGGUGACCGGCCACACUGGGACUGAGACACGGCCCAGACUCCUACGGGAGGCAGCAGUAGGGAAUCUUCCACAAUGGACGAAAGUCUGAUGGAGCAACGCCGCGUGAGCGAUGAAGGCCUUCGGGUCGUAAAGCUCUGUUGUUAGGGAAGAACAAGUACCGGAGUAACUGCCGGUGCCUUGACGGUACCUAACCAGAAAGCCACGGCUAACUACGUGCCAGCAGCCGCGGUAA